rnacentral:rRNA from 1 species
UGGCACGAGUUGUAGAGUGUAGGCGGGAGUCUUUGUGGAGCACGGUGUCCAAGUCCCUUGGAACAGGGCGCCUGAGAGGGUGAGAGCCCCGUGGGGUGCCGUGCGAAGCUUUGAGGCCCUGCUGACGAGUCGAGUUGUUUGGGAAUGCAGCUCCAAGUGGGUGGUAAAUUCCAUCUAAGGCUAAAUACUGGCGAGAGACCGAUAGCGAACAAGUACUGUGAAGGAAAGAUGAAAAGCACUUUGAAAAGAGAGUGAAACAGCACGUGAAAUUGUUGAAAGGGAAGGGUAUUGGGCCCGACAUGGGGAGUGCGCACCGCUGUCUCUUGUAGGCGGCGCUCUGGGCGCUCUCUGGGCCAGCAUCGGUUUUUGCUGCGGGAGAAUGGGUGCCGGAAAGUGGCUCUUCGGAGUGUUAUAGCCGGCGCCAGAUACCGCGUGCGGGGACCGAGGACUGCGGCUUCUGUCUCGGAUGCUGGCACAACG